UUCUUGCUCAGAGUUUACAUAUU
rnacentral:miRNA from 1 species